AAGUCGUAACAAGGUUUCCGUAGGUGAACCUGCGGAAGGAUCAUUAUUGAAAUAAACCUGAUGGGUUGUUGCUGGCUCUCUAGGGAGCAUGUGCACGCCUUGUCAUCUUUAUAUCUCCACCUGUGCACUUUUUGCAGACCUUUCAAGGUCUAUGUUGCUUCAUUUUACCCCAAUGUAUGUUAAUAGAAUGUUGUGCCUAUAUAAUAUAUACAACUUUCAGCAACGGAUCUCUUGGCUCUCGCAUCGAUGAAGAACGCAGCGAAAUGCGAUAAGUAAUGUGAAUUGCAGAAUUCAGUGAAUCAUCGAAUCUUUGAACGCACCUUGCGCUCCUUGGUAUUCCGAGGAGCAUGCCUGUUUGAGUGUCAUUAAUAUAUAUCAACCUUCUCCUUGUUGAGAGGUUUGGAUGUGGGGGUUUGCUGGCCUCUUUAAAAGGUUUCAGCUCCCCUGAAAUGCAUUAGCAGAACAAACCUUGUUCAUUGGUGUGAUAACUAUCUACGCUAUUGAAUGUGAGGGGCAGUUUGGCUUUCUAACAGUCUUUGGACAAUUUUAUCAUUAAUGUGACCUCAAAUCAGGUAGGACUACCCGCUGAACUUAA
rnacentral:rRNA from 1 species